ensembl:piRNA 21ur-187 ncRNA
UCGAUACAGAAAUGUCAAACA